rnacentral:tRNA from 1 species
GCAUCCGUAGCUCAGCUGGAUAGAGUACUCGGCUACGAACCGAGCGGUCGGAGGUUCGACUUCUUUCUGAAUUA